rnacentral:miRNA from 1 species
CCUCUGCCUCCUGCAGAAGUUGCAGCUGGUGCUGGCUCCCCUGCACAGCCUGGCCUCUCGGGCCCUGGAGCUUGGGCUCCCGGACCC